GCCCCAGCCCAUUUUUUAAGGCUUUAAUAGACCAUCAUGGUCGUCUCCCUCUCCAUCAGACACGUUGCCAUUGGGGAUUCGUGACGAGAAGAAUGAAACGUCUUCUCAUCUCCUCUCCACUCGGCGCCACUCAGUCUUCUUCUCCAGCUCCGCUCCGUCACCGUCUUCUUCCACUGUCUCCGUCUUCGUCUUCCAUCGAUGGAAAACAGUGAGUUGAUCAAUAAUGAAUCACCACCUAUAAAUAUUCUCGAUGCAUGUUCUAAACCAUCGAAAAUGACAGUCAUUGGUAAGAGAAAACCAGCUAACUUUAUAAGGAUGGAAAAAUCUAACACCGAGGUAUAAGAUGCAAAUGUAACUAUUGUGCUAAAGACUAUGCUUGUGACACUUCUUCAUGUGGAACUAGUACCUAAUGGAAGCAUUUGCGAAAACAAGGAAAAAAAGAUUCAUUCAUAGAGAAACCUAAAUGGCAAACUAUACUAAAGUUUCAAUAAAAUGAAACUGAUGUUAAAGGUACUAUGAAUAUGAAUCUUUUAUAUGUGCCUUUAGUCAACAAAGAGUUAGAAAUGCAUGUGCUAAGAUGCUAGUAUUAUCUGAGAUACCAUUUAGAUUUGUAGAGACAAAGGAGUUUAAAGAAUUUUAUGAUGUUGCAAGUCUUAAGUUUGAUAUUCCUUCAAGAAUCACAAUUGCUAGGAUAUUUAUUAGUUGUAUGUGGAUGAAAACAAAUUGUUGAAAUCAACUUUAAUCAAAAGUGGUCAAAGAGUGAGCCUCACAACAGAUACUUGGACUUCCUUACAAAACAUCAAUUACAUGGUUCUUACAGCACAUUUUGUUGAUUCUGAAUGGAAUACUGAAAAGAAUAUUGAAUUUAUGUCAAGUGCCUAAUCAUGAGGAAGAGACAAUUGGUAAAGUAAUUGAAUGUUGUCUAUUGGAUUGAGGUAUUGAUAAAGUUUUUCAAUUUUUGUUGAUAAUGCAACUUCAAAUGAUUCGAUAAUCUCAUAUAUGAAGAGAAAACUAAUGAUUUAGAAGUCUCUUAUUUUGGAUGGUGAAUUUUUGCAUAUGAGUUGUUGUGCUCAUAUUAUGAACUUGAUUGUCAAUGACGGAUUGAAAGAAUUGCAUGAUUCGAUAACUAGUGUGUGAAAUGUUGUAAGAUAUGUUAGAUCUUCUUCUAAGUGAUUGAAAUUUUUUUUAGAAUGUGUUGGACAUGAAAAGAUUGAACCUAAAGCCUUUGUUUGUGUGGAUGUGUCUACGAGAUGGAAUUCAACAUAUUUGAUGCUUGACCAUGCUUUAAAAUUUGAAAAGGCUUUUCAAUGCUUAGAAGAAGAGGAUGAAGAUUUUGUACAUUACUUUACUGAAGAUGAGAAUGGAAAGAAAAGAAAGGGGCCACCGACCUUAGCCGAUUGGAACCAUGUUAGAACAUUUAUCAAAUUUUUGAAGAUGUUUUAUGAUCUUACAUUGAAGGUUAGUGGUUCAACUUAUGUCACUUCUAAUACAUUUUUUCAUGAACUUUGUGGGAUUCAACGACGUUUAAUAGGUUGGAGCCAAAUUAUAAAUAGUGUGAUAUAUAUUAUGGCUUCUAAUAUGAAAAUAAAAUUUGAUAAGUAUUGGGGUUCUCUUGACAAGAUGAACAAAGUGUUGUUUCUAGCUAUUGAGCUUGAUCCACGAUAUAAGUUGGAUUAUGUGUCCUUUUGUUUCAUAAGUAUCUAUGAGGAUGAAGUUGCUAGAACAAUGACUGAUGAGGUGAAAGUUAGUUUGAUGUAAUUGUAUAAGUUUUAUGAGACAAGUGAUUCAAGUGGUCAUGCUUUUGAACAACCAUGUCACAUAGUUGAAAUAAGUGAGGAUUGUGAUGAUAUGGAAAUGGAAUUACGGUUGGAAUACAAACGAAGAAGAGAAAAUUUUGAAUGAAAUAAGAAAUGGUGUGGAGAGAUAUUUGUCAAAACCUAAUGAGGAUCUGAUCGAAAAUUUUGAUAUUUUGAAUUGGUGGAAAUUAAAUGCUCCCAAAUACAAAGUUUUUAUCAUAAGUUGCUCGAGAUGUCUUAGCCAUACCAGUGUUAACGGUUGCUUCUGAAUCAACAUUUAGUACGGGAGGUAGAAUACUGGACUCUUUUAGAAGUUCUUUAAGUCCUAAGAUGGUGGAGGCUUUAAUAUGUACACAAAAUUGGCUACGUGCGAAGCCAAUGUUGUUAGAUCUUACUCCACAAACUGAAGAAUUGGAAACGUGUGAUCAAGUUUUAUCCGGAUUCAAGGAGCAAGUUCAAUCAGGAUCAUAAAUGGGUCGUUCAAGUCUAUUGGUCGUUGUUCAAAAAUUCAAUGGAUUGCUCUUUUUAGUGGAUUUUGUGGAUACUACAGUCGUAUUUAUAGAUUUUUAAGACUUUUGUAGACAUUAUAGUCUUACUUUAAGGAUUUUGUAGACAUUUGAAAACACUGUUAUCUUUAUUUUGAAUUUUGUAGACAUUAUAGUCUUACUUUAAGGACUUAUUUU